rnacentral:rRNA from 1 species
UAGGGAAUCUUCCACAAUGGGCGAAAGCCUGAUGGAGCAACGCCGCGUGUGUGAUGAAGGGUUUCGGCUCGUAAACACUGUUGUAAGAGAAGAAUGACAUUGAGAGUAACUGUUCAAUGUGUGACGGUAUCUUUACCAGAAAGGAACGGCUAAAUACGUGCCAG